rnacentral:rRNA from 1 species
UACGUAGGGGGGCUAGCGUUGUCCGGAAUCAUUGGGCGUAAAGAGCGCGUAGGCGGCCCGGUAAGUCUGCUGUAAAAGUCAAAGGCUUAACCUUUGAAAGUCAGUGGAUACUGCCGGGCUAGAGUCCGGAAGAGGCGAGUGGAACUCCUGGUGUAGCGGUGGAAUGCGCAGAUAUCAGGAAGAACACCAACGGCGAAGGCAGCUCGCUGGGACGGAACUGACGCUGAGGCGCGAAAGCGUGGGGAGCAAACAGG